CACCUGUACCCAUGCCGAACACAGAAGUUAAGCCCUAGAACGCCGGAAGUAGUUGGGGGUUGCCCCCUGUGAGAUAAGGUAGUCGCUUAGC
rnacentral:rRNA from 1 species